AGGCUGCCAACUCGCCUACACGAAGUCGGAAUCGCUAGUAAUCACGGAUCAGCAUGCCGCGGUGAAUACGUUCCCGGGCCUUGUACACACCGCCCGUCACACCAUGAGAGUCGGGAACACCCGAAGUCCGUAGCCUGACCGCAAGGGGGGCGCGGCCGAAGGUGGGUUCGAUAAUUGGGGUGAAGUCGUAACAAGGUAUC
rnacentral:rRNA from 1 species